rnacentral:rRNA from 1 species
CACGUAGGGGCCAAGCGUUGUCCGGAUUUAUUGGGCGUAAAGAGCUCGUAGGCGGUUCGACAAGUCGGGUGUGAAAACUCCGGGCUCAACCCGGAGACGCCACCCGAUACUGUCGUGACUGGAGUCCGGUAGGGGAGUGGGGAAUUCCUGGUGUAGCGGUGGAAUGCGCAGAUAUCAGGAGGAACACCGAUGGCGAAGGCAGAUCUCUGGGCCGUAACUGACGCUGAGGAGCGAAAGCAUGGGGAGCGAACAGG